CGGCCUCAUCCUCGUCUUCAUCACCUUCAUCAUCGUCAUCACCUUCAUCAUCUUCUUCUGCAUCCUCAUCUUCAUCUUCAUCUUCAUCGUCUUCUGCAUCCUCAUCUUCGUCUUCAUCCUCAUCUUCAUCCUCAUAAUCUUCAUCUUCACCUUCAUCUUCAUCAUCUUCAUCAUCUUUUGCAUCCCUCAUCUUCGUCAUCUUCAUCAUCUUCUUCUUCAUCAUCCUCGUUUUCAUCUUCAUCCUCUGUCUUCAUCAUCUUCAUCAUCUUCACCUUCACGUUCUUCUGCAUCCUCAUCUUCAUCUUCAUCAUCUUCGUCGUCCUCAUCUUCAUCUUCAUCAUCUUCGUCUGCAUCCUCAUCUUCAUCUUCAUCAUCUUCAUCAUCUUCUGCAUCCUCAUCUUCAUCUUCGUUUUCAUCAUCUUCAUCGUUCUCAUCUUCAUCUUCGUCUUCAUCAUCAUCACCUUCAUCAUCUUCUUCUGCCUCCUCACCUUCAUCAUCUUCAUCCUCAUCUUCCUCAUCUUCAUCCUUAUUUUCGUCCUCAUCAUCUUCACCUUCAUCUUCAUCCUCAUCUUCGUCUUCAUCUUUUUCAUCUUCUUCUUCAUCAUCCUCAUCUUCAUCCUCUGUCUUCAUCAUCUUCAUCAUCUUCAUCCUCAUAAUCUUCUUCAUCAUCUUCAUCUUCAUCGUCUUCAUCAUCCUCAUCUUCAUCCUCUUCCUCAUCUUCAUCCUUAUCUUCAUCCUCAUCAUCUUUAUCUCAUCUUCAUCUUCAUCGUCUUCAUCUUCAUCAUCAUCACCUUCAUCUUUAUCUUAAUCAUCUUAGUCUUCAUCUUGGUCUUCAUCAUCUUCUUCUUCAUCCUCAUCAUCCUCAUCUUCAUCCUGAUCUUCAUCUUCUUCAUCCUCAUCCUCAACACCUUCAUCAUCUUCGUCUUCAUCUUCACCUUCAUCUUCGUUCUCAUCUUCGUCUUCAUCACCUUCAUCUUCAGCUUGGUGUUCAUCCUCAUCGUCAUCUUCAUCAUCUUCAUCCUCAUCUUCAUCCUCGUCUUCAUCUUCUUCAUCUUCAUCUUCAUCCUCAUCACUUUUCAUCAUCUUUGUCUUCACCUUCAUCUUCAUCUUGGUGUUCAUCCUCAUCCUCAUCUUCAUCUUCAUCAUCUUCAUCCUCAUCAUCUUCAUCUUCAUCAUCCUCGUCUUCAUCCUCAUCCUCAUCUUUGGGGUGUGUCUCACCUGUCCAGGUGUGGUUUGGGGGGUUUGUGGGGCUGUGUCUCACCUGUCCAGGUGUGGUUUGGGUGUGUCUCACCU
rnacentral:lncRNA from 1 species